rnacentral:rRNA from 1 species
GACGAGGGGUCCUAGCGUUGUUCGGAAUCACUGGGCGUAAAGCGUAUGUAGGCGGCUUUUCAAGUCAGGUGUGAAAUCCCAUGGCUUAACCAUGGAACUGCAUUUGAUACUGUAAAGCUUGAGUAUUGGAGAGGAUGGUAGAAUUCCUGGUGUAGUGGUGAAAUACGUAGAUAUCAGGAGGAAUACCGGUGGCGAAGGCGGCCAUCCUGGCCAAAUACUGACGCUGAGAUACGAAAGUGUGGGGAUCAAACAGG